GCAGUGGACUGAGGAAGGGCUCCGCAUGCCUGCAAAGAGGCUGCAGCUGCCCCGUGAUGCCCACGCUGGGGGCGGCGAGCGCCCAGCAAGAGGUGCGAAUCAGACCCGCCGGUCUCUGCUCACCAAAGGUGCUGCACGCGGUGUUCUUCUUCGGAAAAGUGCACAGGAUCCCGGUAGCCCCCUCGGAGUUCCUAGAGCCGAGCCUCUGCACGGCGCUGCAGGCGCGCUUCCCCAGACCGUUUGACCAGUGCGGCACCCACCUCCCCAGCAUGACGCCGUACUCCAUCCUGCUGGAGUUCGGCACAAAAGAAGCAGGCUGCAGCACCAAAGAGAAGAUGGAGGCCUUCUUGAUAAAAUUUAAUGAAGCUCUGCAAAAAGCCAUGGAGGAUGGAACACCUGCUCUGAAGCCCUCUGAAUUCACUUUCAGAGCUGCAGUUGUGGCUCACAGCUUCUACAGUGAUGUCCAGGAAGGAACAGGUUCCCCUCUCUUCUUUGGAGCAUCCCUCUCAUGCAAGGGGAGGGUGGAGAGGGAGAUCAUGAUUAGCGUGUCGUGCAUGAGAACAUGGCACAAGGCAGUGGCCUUUGCGGUGUAUAAUGCAAAGUAUGGGCUGGCCGUUGUUUUCCCUGACGGAGUGCAGAGCCGGGCUUUCUGGUACCAUAAAGGAGAAUUCAAGGAAAAACAACCCUGUCUGAUUUGCAACAAGAUGUUCCAAAAUGUGGACUUUCGGCCACCCCUAGAUGAUGCCAAGAAGCCCCUGUGGCCACACGGGAACUGCGCUGAGAACGAGAGCUUGAGCAACCUGCUGUUGGGCGUCCAGGGGCUGCAGGAAAGAGUUGUCUCAACACAUGCGUCCCUGACGCCAAACACAUACAUGUCCAUUGAGCAAAAUUUUACAGCCUUCAUGGAGGAAGAUUUUAGAAAUCGGCUCAUUCAGUUGCUUCAAGAAAGCAAUUUUCCUCACCAUUCUCUCCAGUUUUUUGAGCAUGAGUGAGUGCUGAGAAGCAGCCGCAGACUGGCACUUGCUGCAGCUCCUGAGACCUCCCGGGUUAGGGCAUUGCUGCAGCAGAGCCUGCUCAAGCCUGUGACAACUCCCUCCUGCCCCAGUCUUUCCACACACUGCCCAUGGUCACCCCAGCACGCUUUGGCUGGCACAAGGCAUGGGGGCAAAAGCAGCCAGCAGGAGACCUGCACACAGAGCAGCACACAACUGUGCAGACGCUCAGUCUUCAAGCCAGGAGCUGUGUAACCACCUCACCACCGCACUUCCCCCCAUCCUGCCACCCUCUGCAAGGCACAGCAGGACACAGGAGCCGCGGAGGCCUGGAAGCACCACGGCUUGUGCUUCUGUGAGUGCCGGGCUGCUGGCGCUUGCCCCACUGCCUACAAGCACUGCGACCACCUCUCCUGUUCCACAGGGCCCCAGUGCAGCUCUAGAGAACACACAGGCAGCCCCUCUCCCCUCCUUGCCUGUAUGCUGCUUCCAAGCUUGGGCUACGAGCUCACGUGAACGGGCUCUCUGGACACGGAAAGAGGCGAGGCGAGGGCAGCUGAACGUACAGAGCCUUCAAAUUGUCACCAGCACGAGGGAGCACAGUUCCCACGUCCCUGCGAGCAGUGCCGUGCUGGGGAUACCCCUUUGCCACUUGUUGCACUCCAGUACAUGGGAUUCCUGUUGCUUUUAAUCUAUGUAAAUAAACAACAUGUUUACAUAGUUUUUCA
rnacentral:lncRNA from 1 species